ACCGCAUGAUUAGCGAAUAAUUAACGAUUACUUUCCUCGUGUACUUUACAUAGCGGAAACACUGUCUGGAACACAAAUCUGUCAAAAUGCUAACAUCGGUUUAGUACAGUUUACAUCGUAAAAUCAAAAAAGGCUGUAAUUUUUUGCUAAAAUAAGGUUGGUACUUACUAUACUCAGCACUGCAGAGAUGGAAUAUUUAACUGCGGAUUAUUCAAUGGCCAUUUUUGGUUGUGUUUGUAUAACAAUCAAAUUCAAGGAAAGUAUAGAAGUUAAAGAGAUGAUUUUCUAUGCAUAGCAACAAGGAAUCGAACAUGUGUUAGUUAUUUCUCAGACAAUAGUGUACUAUAGUAGUAUAAUACCAUAUCAUGUUUAUGUACCACUAUUCAUAGGGGUACCACUAUUCAUGCCUUGUCACCCCAAUUUUCAAAAUAAUUGUGAGAUAAAGUGUUUUGGCCCAAGUUUACAGAUCACCACAAAUUUUAACCUGCUGUUGAGUGUCUAGCCUAUAGAAACAAUCAGGCCCAAACCAUACUCGAAUCAUACUAUUCAAUGAAGUUUGUUUAUGUUUCAAGCUGUGAUCGUAUAUGCAUUUAAUCACUUCACACUAGAUUUUUAAAAUGUGAAUCCCGAUGCCAAUCUUAAAUCACCGUUUUGUUUUGUGCAAUACUAAAUUUGUUGGGUAUUACCAUUCAAAAAAUGGGUUGUACCUGUUAAUUUAUUCAAUACAUUGUUAUCAUACAAUAACA